rnacentral:rRNA from 1 species
GAUGAACGCUGGCGGCGUGCCUAACACAUGCAAGUCGAGCGAACCCUUCGGGGUGAGCGGCGGACGGGUGAGUAACGCGCGGGUAACCUGCCCUGUACACACGGAUAACAUAACGAAAGGUAGGCUAAUACGAGAUAAUAUAUUUUAAUCGCAUGGAUAAGAUAUCAAAGCUACGGCGGUACAGGAUGGACCCGCGUCUGAUUAGCUAGUUGGUGAGGUAAUGGCUCACCAAGGCGACGAUCAGUAGCCGACCUGAGAGGGUGGUCGGCCACACUGGAACUGAGACACGGUCCAGACUCCUACGGGAGGCAGCAGUGGGGAAUAUUGCACAAUGGGCGAAAGCCUGAUGCAGAACGCCGCGUGAGCGAUGAAGGCCUUCGGGUCGUAAAGCUCUGUCCUCAAGGAAGAUAAUGACGGUACUUGAGGAGGAAGCCCCGGCUAACUACGUGCCAGCCGCCGCGGUAA